CCGAGUUUAAUACAACUCCCAAACCCCUGUGAAACCAGACCCAUAUCGUUGCCUCGGCGGCGCCCCCUCGGGGACCGCCAGAGGACCCAAACUCUUGCUUUCGUACAAGUUUGUCUGAGUGUUGCUGCAAGCAAAAUAAAUCA
rnacentral:misc_RNA from 1 species